rnacentral:rRNA from 1 species
UUGAUGGUAGUGUAUUGGACUACAAUGGCUAUUACGGGUAACGGAGAAUUAGGGUUCGAUUCCGGAGAAGGAGCCUGAGAAACGGCUACUAUGUCUACGGAAAGCAGCAGGCGCGUAAAUUACCCAAUCGUAAAUCACGGAGGUAGUUAAUAGAUAUUCUUAACCAAUCUUUUGAUUCGGUUAGAAUUAAGCUAAUCUAAAAAUCUAGCACAAUAAUAUUGGAAGGCAAGUCUGGUGCCAGCAGCCGCGGUAAUUCCAGCUCCAAUAGCGUAUACUAAUGUUGUUGCAGUUAAAAAGCUCGUAGUUGAAAUUUUGGCUAUUUUAUAGCUAAAUGUUUCUUAUGAAACAUAUUAUUGUGAAUAAAUUAGAGUGUUUCAGGCAGACUUUGUUUGAAUACAUCAGCAUGGAAUAAUAUAACAAGAUUUAAUUUUUUGGUUAUGAAAUUAAAUAAUGAUUAAUAGAAACAGUUGGGGGCAUUCGUAUUUAAUAGUCAGAGGUAAAAUUCUUGGAUUUAUUAAAGACGAACUAAAGCGAAAGCAUUUGUCAAGGAUGUUUUCAUUAAUCAAGAACGAAAGUUAGGGGAUCAAAGACGAUUAGAUACCGUC